rnacentral:rRNA from 1 species
UUUCGACACACUAUCAUUAACUGAAUCCAUAGGUUAAUGAGGCGAACCGGGGGAACUGAAACAUCUAAGUACCCCGAGGAAAAGAAAUCAACCGAGAUUCCCCCAGUAGCGGCGAGCGAACGGGGAGCAGCCCAGAGCCUGAAUCAGUGUGUGUGUUAGUGGAAGCGUCUGGAAAGGCGCGCGAUACAGGGUGACAGCCCCGUACACAAAAAUGCACAUACUGUGAGCUCGAUGAGUAGGGCGGGACACGUGGUA